UUUGACAAUUGAAGUAGUUUAAAACUUAGCAAGUCACGCCUCUUCCUCUUUUCUCCUUCUACUUCCUUUCUUUUCUCCAUUCCAGUUCCAGUUACCCUCCUCGCUUCCGAUUUCCUUCCUUCCAUCUCUCAAGUUUCUUUUCCUUCAAACUCAGUAAGUCACGCCUCUUCCUCUUCCUCUUAUAUUGGACUCUCUCGCUUUUCCGGUUGAAUUUCACGCCUAAGUUUUCAAGUACUUCCCGAGGUUGGACGCCCUCACUUUACCGGUUGUUGAUGUUGGUUUUUUAUUUUGCAUUGAUUGACAGGUUUCAAUUACUCCCCUCUCUGCAUUCUUCCUCCAAUAAAUCGACUGAAAAUACGACGAUUUGGCACAGGUCUGAACUUUUCCGAGAAUUAUCAUUUUCACUGUUGGAAAAGCUGUUCUUCCCAAUAGGUCUGAAGUUCUACGAGAAUUCUCAUGGGAGGCGCAGAAAAUAACUCCGGCACAGG